rnacentral:rRNA from 1 species
GACGAACGCUGGCGGCGUGCUUAACACAUGCAAGUCGAGCGGAAAGGCCCUUUCGGGGGUACUCGAGCGGCGAACGGGUGAGUAACACGUGAGUAAUCUGCCCCUGGCUUUGGGAUAGCCACCGGAAACGGUGAUUAAUACGGGAUACGACCACUUCUCGCAUGGGAUGGUGGUGGAAAGUUUUUCGGCCAGGGAUGUGCUCGCGGCCUAUCAGCUUGAUGGUGAGGUAAUGGCUCACCAUGGCUUCGACGGGUAGCCGGCCUGAGAGGGUGGCCGGUCACACUGGGACUGGGACACGGCCCAGACUCCUACGGGAGGCAGCAGUGGGGAAUAUUGGACAAUGGGCGGAAGCCUGAUCCAGCAACGCCGCGUGAGGGAUGACGGCCUUCGGGUUGUAAACCUCUUUCAGCAGGGACGAAGCGCAAGUGACGGUACCUGCAGAAGAAGCACCGGCCAACUACGUGCCAGCCGCCGCCGUAA